UACGUAGGUGGCAAGCGUUGUCCGGAUUUACUGGGCGUAAAGAGCGCGCAGGCGGUCGUUCAAGUCGCGUGUGAAAGCCCCCGGCUCAACUGGGGAGGGUCACGCGAUACUGCUCGACUUGAAGGCAGGAGAGGGAAGUGGAAUUCCCGGUGUAGUGGUGAAAUGCGUAGAUAUCGGGAGGAACACCAGUGGCGAAGGCGACUUCCUGGCCUGUUCUUGACGCUGAGGCGCGAAAGCGUGGGGAGCAAACAGG
rnacentral:rRNA from 1 species